rnacentral:rRNA from 1 species
AGCAGUCGCCCGGUAAUACGAAGGGUGCAAGCGUUAAUCGGAAUUACUGGGCGUAAAGCGUGCGUAGGCGGUUUGUUAAGUCUGCUGUGAAAUCCCCGGGCUCAACCUGGGAAUGGCAGUGGAUACUGGCAAGCUAGAGUGUGUCAGAGGAUGGUGGAAUUCCCGGUGUAGCGGUGAAAUGCGUAGAGAUCGGGAGGAACAUCAGUGGCGAAGGCGGCCAUCUGGGACAACACUGACGCUGAGGCACGAAAGCGUGGGGAGCAAACAGGAUUAGAUACCCCGGUAGUCCCUGUCUCUUAUACA